ACUUUCGCUUGCUGCCGGGAGAGGAGUGGGUGUGCUUUCCAAGCCAGGUGCCUUCAUCAAGGAUUAUGAAAACCCAUUCGAACUGGGAUGGGACUCUAUUUAGCCUCAAGCACAUGAACCAUGAGCACUACAAAAGAAGAACAAAGAGUUGCUAUAGUGGCCGUGAUGCAACUAGAAUACAUCCAAGGGAUUAAACAUGGCUUCAAAGAUCUAGAAGACUUCCUCCCAGCAGAUGAGGAAUUUAGAUACAGCCAUGGACAAUUACACUUUUCAUUUCUAUAAGGUUACUGUUUAGCCCAGCGUUUAAUAUGAAAAGAUGGUAACACUACUAAGAGUACAACAUUACUGUAUUUUUAUGUCAACUGCGGCUGUUUUCUUAGUCUUCAUAUUGCAACCAGAGCCCACUGAUAUUGUUCAGAAUUCAUUUUCAUCGUCUUAUAUACAUUUGCUGUAGUAUCAACUGCUCAAGAGACUCAUCUGCCUGCCAGUAAUUCUGGGCAUACCUCUCAGGUGGGACACUAAUGAAAGUGAAAAUGAAAUAGUUCAGUGAUGAUAUAAAAGAGCAAGAUAGAGUCAACGGUGAAAACAGAGGCAGAACGACAGGAGUGCUCAUCCUGAAUUCAAAAUGAAGUCAACCUUAAUUUUAGUUUCUAAAAGCUUAUGCUUCAUACUUGAAGUUUUACUUAACGUUAGCUUGAACAGUUCAAAUUUAAUUUCCAUCUUGAUUUAUGUAAGUAUGAGAACUGAAUUCAUGCUAUGAUUAAGCAAUUGUGAUUUUUAUUGUUGUUGUUCAUUCAGGACAUCCUAAAAACAUUAGAACCCAAGAAUGUACCCAAUAUGUGUGUUCUUAUUUCAAGUCAGAAUAAUGAAAUGGCUAAAAAAUGUUCAAUAUCUAUUUAGCAGAGUACACAUACCAAUGCUUAUACGCCAUAUGUGCUAUGUAUUUAUGAUAGCUAUAGAUUUACAAUAUGUAUAAAGAAUGGUGUGUACAUUCUAUAUAUAUGAGCCAUAUGUAUUUGAUAUAUAUAGAAAGUAUACAGGGACAAAAUAAAUUGCUAAUGAUUGCAUUUUAAUGGAUUAUUUCAGAGUUCUCAUAUUAGAAUGACAGACUAGAAUGUUUGAGUGAAAGAACAGAAAACAUUAAGAAACAGUUCUCUGAGAAGCCAUACUGAAAAUAUGGAUGUAUAUAUUUUUACACCACAUAUGUGUAUGAAGUUCAGUACCUUAUUGAGAAAGAAAGAAAUUAUAGUAAUUCUUCUGUUGUUAUUGAAUACCAAUUAUUUAAGGCUAGUGAUGCCUUAAAAGAAUAAAUUGCAUUGUAGGGAAAUCUCCACUGUCCCGGAGGGACAGUGCAGGAUAGAUAUAAUUCUAAAAGCUUUCUUAAACUGCAAUAUACAGCAUCAAUUUUGUUCUAGGCACUUUUUAGAGUCUUGCAGGAAAUUCCACUCUAAGAGAUUGCAUCCUAUUCCUAUACUCUCUCCACCCACUUUGCUUCUCUGUGUUUUUUGUCUUUAAAAUGUUAACUUCUUAGCAUACAUAUAUCCCAAACUACUUACUGUUAAGUUAAACUGUACACUACUUUAUUCAUGUAAAGCAAAAUAGACACUACAACUUCCAUAGUUGAAUUCAGCCUGUGUUAAUGAAUCUGCUCUGAAGUACAGCUGGUCUGAGCUGGAUUGCUUUCAGCUACCUAAACAAAUCUAAGUCCUGUAUCUCUAUAAUAAAGACAGUCUCCAGUACGGACAUAUUUAAAUAUAUAUGGCUAUGCUUGUGAGCAACCCAAAUGAGUUAUAAUCACUCUUAGUGAAAAUAAUGUGAUUAAGCUUAGUAAUAAAAUCCAAAUUUUACUAAUCACAAUUAUAAGCAUGCAGUCUAAAUACUGCUCCACUAAAACCGAAGUUAGGGUAUAAAUGUAGUUUUAUUUAUCUCUGAAGUGAGAGCUUUUCUGUGCUUUAAACAACUUAUUUGCCUUCAUUGCUAAGUAUUUUCUCUAAUAACAACUUAAUAUCCUUCAGCAUCACAUCUAAUAAAAAAUUCAGUUAGCAUCAAACUACAAGUGUGUGAUGAGUGUUCAUCCAUUUUAAGAAGAAACAGACUUCUGUAUAUUUAAAGCAAGAAUUUUAACACUUGUCAUCUUAUUCCCAAAGGGACUUUUAAUGUUAUGUAAACAUUAACAUUUCCAUUAUUAAAGUUUAUGAAUGUAUUUACAAAAAAAGAACUGUUGACAUAGAUAUUUCAAAAAGAAAGAAAAGUACAUGUUGCUCAUGACUGAAAAAUUACUUGUUUUCAAGUAAUUUCUGUUAAUAAAUAAAGUUAAGGGAAGGGAAGGGGAAUGGGAAGG
ensembl:lncRNA